GGGAUUGCGGCAGCUACACAUGCAGUCGAACGGUAGCACAGAGAGCUUGCUCUCGGGUGACGAGUGGCGGACGGGUGAGUAAUGUCUGGGAAACUGCCUGAUGGAGGGGGAUAACUACUGGAAACGGUAGCUAAUACCGCAUAACGUCGCAAGACCAAAGAGGGGGACCUUCGGGCCUCUUGCCAUCAGAUGUGCCCAGAUGGGAUUAGCUAGUAGGUGGGGUAACGGCUCACCUAGGCGACGAUCCCUAGCUGGUCUGAGAGGAUGACCAGCCACACUGGAACUGAGACACGGUCCAGACUCCUACGGGAGGCAGCAGUGGGGAAUAUUGCACAAUGGGCGCAAGCCUGAUGCAGCCAUGCCGCGUGUAUGAAGAAGGCCUUCGGGUUGUAAAGUACUUUCAGCGGGGAGGAAGGUGUUGUGGUUAAUAACCGCAGCAAUUGACGUUACCCGCAGAAGAAGCACCGGCUAACUCCGUGCCAGCAGCCGCGGUAAUACGGAGGGUGCAAGCGUUAAUCGGAAUUACUGGGCGUAAAGCGCACGCAGGCGGUCUGUCAAGUCGGAUGUGAAAUCCCCGGGCUCAACCUGGGAACUGCAUUCGAAACUGGCAGGCUGGAGUCUUGUAUAGGGGGGUAGAAUUCCCGUGUAGCGGUGAAAUGCGUAUAGAUCUGGAGGAAGACCGGUGGCGAAGGGGGCCCCC
rnacentral:rRNA from 1 species